rnacentral:lncRNA from 1 species
CAUAUACUUGACAUCUGCCCUAAGUCACUAUCCUUCACUAUCUGCUCAAGUCAGCCUUGUGUGCUCUUUGGAGAUUUCUUGGCAGCUAACCCUGGCUGUAGGGACACAUGAAUUGGCUUUCAGCUAUUUGUAUAAAAAUGUAACUGUGACUUACCCAUCCUAGAAGAUGAUUCAGACCCGGUUUUUAAGACCAAGCCAGGUGCCUGUGUUUAAAGGAACAGGUGUCACUGAGAUGGGGGAAGCUGGAGAUCAGUGUAGGAAUUCAAGGGAAGACUUGGUUCCAGGGUAAUGAUGAUAAAACCUUCAGAGAUACCAAACAGAUAGUAUGGGUUUGGUUUGGGUUUCUUGGGUUAGCCAAUAUUUUUCUGAGAGUAUGCUAUUUACCAGGUUUUUUUUUUUUUUUUUUUUUUUUUUUUUUUUGUCUAUUUGCUAUUUCUUUGGGCCGCUCCCGCGGCAUAUGGAGGUUUCCAGGCUAGGGGUCUAAUCUGAGCUGCAGCCACUGGCCUACGCCAGAGCCACAGCAACACGGGAUCCGAGCCGCGUCUGCAACCUACACCACAGCUCACGGCAACGCCGGAUCAUUAACCCACUGAGCCAGGGCAGGGACCGAACCCGCAACCUCAUGGUUCCUAGUCGGAUUUGUUAACCACUGCGCCACGAUGGGAACUCCAAAUAAGUAGUUUUUAUAAGCCUAUGUGAAAAAGGUAGUCAUCAAGUUGGAAGGACAUUUUCCCCCCUCUAUACCUCUGUGGGGGAACUUUUUGAUCAAUAUGGGUCACGCUUGACCAAAAUUAACUUUAUUUUAAAACUGCUCUCCUUUGGAAGUUGCCUCCCUAUGCCCUUUCUGAGGAGGGGGGAUUGGGAAUAGGGUUCUAAAAGAAAAGCUGUUUGGCCAAGAAAAUAGGAAAAUUUUUCUCCACAUCAGAGUUGAACAUACGAGCAUGUGCUUUCGGGGAGCCGGCAAAUGUGACUUCCCCUAGAAAUAAUUGUUGUAACUGAAUUAUGAUUACUUUCCUAAACCUGCCCCUCUGCAUUAUUCAAGGUUUCCUGUGUCCUGCCUUGUCCCAGAUCGAGAACAAAAUGAAACUCUCGCCAAUUUCGUCUACCUUUUUUGCUCUAAGCCAAGGCUUUGCAGCACCAUUAGGAUGUAGAUUAUCAUAUUUAAAACCUGUGAUGACACCGUUGUACCCAUCUGAAUGAUUAAUCUGCUCAUUAAAAGAGUGCCGAUGGGCUAGUCUAAUUGGAACAUGGAUCUUCUUAAAGGACGUUACAGGGUCGGGAAUAGGAAAUAUUACUCAUAACAUAAAGUAGGGAUUAAUUAUGCUACUAAAUACUACUGUGUGAAAUUUACAUAUGGGUCUGCUUAGAGACAAGGAUUAGAAGACGUGUAGCGUCCCAUUUUAUAACUUUUAUGUCAACUUUAAGACAGGUGGUGUGUUCCUACUUUAAUCCCAAAUCUUAAAUCAACAUUUACAAAAGCUGUUAUAAACUCAAAUGCCACAGAAGGCUUAGAGGUUGGGAUAAACAUAGAAUUUGCAUCUGCGAAUCACUGAUUUAAACUUAUGGAUUUUUAAAACAAUUGCAAAGAUCCAAAGCUGCAGAGCAGUCUUUACUCUCUGUUAAAUCCUGACUGCUGGAUGAUAUUAAUCUUCCUAAAGGAGAAUGAGAGAUGAAUUGGGAUCUUUGGGAAAAUAUGCAAAUCCAUUGAGCACAAGUUUGCAAGCUUUCUUUUCUUUUUUUUUCUUUUAAAAAUCACCUUUAAACAAAUAGUAUGUAUAAAAGAUGUAAGGGGAGUUGCAAAGUGGCCUGGAGAUUUGAAGCCCCACUUCAGAGCUUCUCUGUCACAGGGACCUUGCGGCUGCACAGGUAAAAAAAAAAAUAGCUUACAAAAUGGAGGUGAUCCUAGAAUCUUUGAGGUGAAAAGAAUCUUGAAGGUUUUUUAUCCUAUCUUCCUCAUUUUAAAGCAAAGAAGCACAAAAUGUACACAACCAGUGACAAGCCAGAGCUGAAAACCAAAGUUUCUGACUCACGGUCCAGUGCUAUUUUCGGUAAACAACAUAGCAUCUCUAGCCUGGUUACCCAGUGUCUUGACACGUUGGGUUAGUUGUUUGAUGCCUCAUGUCUUAAGAUAUCUCUGUUGACUGAAGUCAGCUUGUUUGACAAAUGCAAAAUAUAUUCUCACACAUCUUCAGGAUUUCAGGCGUUUCCACUACUUGAAAAUUCAUUUUCUUUUUCAUUCUUAGGCAGGUGUCAUGUCAUGUGUGUGGUAGGCAUGGAAAGCUGCUGCUGCAGAGUAAACGCUCUACCAUGCCGGCCG